UGAGAGUCCCUGGCUCGCUUGGAGUCGUUUAAAGUAUCCGCGCGAGCGGUACCGGGUGUUAACCGUGCGGGACCGAGACGAGUCCUCAGCCUCGGCCCUUUCCCAUCCUCUCUGGUCAGAGGGAAAGAAUGAGAGGAACUCAGUCAAGCAAUGACACUUCAAGUCAAGAAGUUGGGGUUCUACCCUGUACCCCAGGCAGUGUACAGAACUCAGCAUUGCUGGUGAAGGUCCCUCUGGAGGACACCCAAGUCCAGCAUGAUCUUGACAGACCAGUGACUGACCUGACCCCUCCCUCCAGUCCUGUGCUUGAUGCCCCCUGCUUUGUCCUAGUACUCAAGAGGGUGAGUGAAGCAGGAUUCGAAAGUUCAGUUCUCAGCUACAUAGUGAGUUUGAGGCCAGCCUGGGUUACAUGAGACGCUGCUUCAACACAAUGAAAUAAAGGACUGGAGAGGUUGGGUUGA
ensembl:processed_transcript 1700122E12Rik RIKEN cDNA 1700122E12 gene